ACACGGGAUGCACUCAGUGCGGAAUGUACAGUAUAUUGUUUCUGAUGUAGGAGCAGCCUUCUGGAAAGCCUUUCAGGAAAAGAAAACAGUGGAGCCAGAGGGGAUCAUGCUGCUGCCCAGUCCCCUGUCAACCAGUGCCAGCUUCACCAUUAGUCUCUUUAAAAUGAUAAAUUACUCAGCAGAGCACCGACGCUGUGAUCGCAGGGUCAGCUCGAGGAACCACUCUGACUGCAAUGGGUUGCACACUGAAAUGAAGAACCGUUCAAGAGAGGAACCUGGUUCCGGCCGUGCUCAGCCUGGCGGUCGUCUCCUCUCUUGUCACAGGCGUCCUGCUGCCGGUGUGGCCCGGCCCCUCCACCCGCCUGCAGCUCCACCUCCUCCAGCCUCUUAUGACCGUCUGCACCCAGGAGGAGACUCGAUCCUACCGUGACCAAGGAGGAACCACUGCCAAUUACACUGAUCACGUCCUCACCGAAAUAGCUGCCGACAAUUACGUUAGUCAACAGACAGUGGAGCAGUC
ensembl:lncRNA